rnacentral:rRNA from 1 species
CUACGGGUUGCAGCAGUGAGGAAUAUUGCACAAUGGAGGAAACUCUGAUGCAGCAACGCCGCGUGGAGGAUGACGCAUUUCGGUGUGUAAACUCCUUUUAUAUGUCAAGAAAAUGACGGUAGCAUAUGAAUAAGCACCGGCUAACUCCGCGCCAGCAGCCGCGGUAAUACGGAGGGUGCAAGCGUUACUCGGAAUCACUGGGCGUAAAGGACGCGUAGGCGUGAUAUCAAGUCAGGUGUGAAAUCCUACAGCUUAACUGUAGAACUGCACUUGAAACUGGUAACCUAGAGUAUGGGAGGGGGAGAUGGAAUUAGUGGUGUAGGGGUAAAAUCCGUAGAUAUCACUAGGAAUACCUAAAGCGAAGGCGAUCUCCUGGAACAUAACUGACGCUAAGGCGUGAAAGCGUGGGGAGCAAACAGGAUUAGAUACCCUAGUAGUC